rnacentral:lncRNA from 1 species
GGAUGGCAUAUAGAGUGAUUUGAAUAAGAACAAACGCUACUUGAUAAGGAGUGUUUUGAAAUCAAAUUUCAAAAUCUUUCUUUUAUCAAACCCAACCAAUUUUAGCAUGAGAAAGGAGCAAUGUCAGAAGUUAUUGGUGUAGAGAAAUCUCACACAAAUUUUUUUUGUGCAUGGAGAAAAGUGGCAUCCAAAAAAAUGUGGCG